CAGUCGCCGCGGUAAUACCGAGGCCUCAAGCGUUGUUCGGAUUCAUCGGGCGUAAAGGGUGCGUAGGCGGUUCCGUAAGUCGGAUGUGGAAUCUUGGGGCUCAACCUCAAAACUGCAUUCGAUACUGCGGGGCUAGAGGACUGGAGAGGAGAGUGGAAUUCACGGUGUAGCAGUGAAAUGCGUAGAUAUCGUGAGGAAGACCAGCGGCGAAGGCGGCUCUCUGGACAGUUCCUGACGCUGAUGCACGAAGGCCAGGGGAGCAAACGGGAUUAGAUACCCGGGUAGUCCCUGUCUCUUAUAC
rnacentral:rRNA from 1 species